ensembl:lncRNA
AAUGAUAAUGGACUCUUAUGAGCUGUGGUGAAACAACAACGACUUCAAUGAUAAUGGACUCUUAUGAGCUGUGGUGAAACAACAACGACUUCAAUGAUAAUGGACUCUUAUGAGCUGUGGUGAAACAACGACGACUUCAAUGAUAAUGGACUCUUAUGAGCUGUAGUGAAACAACAACGACUGCAGCAUGAAAGGAUCAGAUGUGAAGCAGAGGAGAUGGAGGAGAUGGAGGAGCAUGAAGAGAUGGAGGAGAUGGAGGAGGUGAUGGAGGUGAUGGAGGAGAUGGAGGAGAUGGAGGAGCAUGAGGAGAUGGAGGAGCAUGAAGAGCAUGAGGAGAUGGAGGAGAGAGAGGAGAGAGAAGAGAGAGAGGAGCAUGAGGAGAUGGAGGAGCAGGAGGAGAUGGAGGAGCCUGAGGAGAUGGAGGAGCAUGAGGAGGUGGAGGAGAUGGAGGAGAUGGAGGAGCAUGAGGAGAUGGAGGAGCAGGAGGAGAUGGAGGAGCAUGAGGAGAUGGAGGAGCAUGAGGAGAUGGAGGAGCAUGAGGAGAUGGAGGAGCAUGAGGAGAUGGAGGAGAGAGAGGAGAUGGAGGAGAGAGAGGAGAGAGAAGAGAGAGAGGAGCAUGAGGAGAUGGAGGAGCAUGAGGAGAUGGAGGAGGUGGAGGAGAUGGAGGAGAUGGAGGAGAAUGAGGAGAUGGAGGAGCAG